rnacentral:tRNA from 1 species
GGGGUUGUGGCUCAUUGAUAGAGCAUUGGCUUUGUAUGCAGAAGGUUCCAGGUUCAAUACCUGGCAUAUCCA